CCCAAGAUCACACCUGAGCCAAAACCAAGAGUUUGUUGCUCAACCAACGGAGCCCCCAGACAUCCUGACUAGAGGAUUAAUGGGAAGGUUCUUUAGCACAUAUUUCCAUACAUGUGUAUGUGUAUAUUACAAGUGGGAAGAAUAUAUCCCUCACACUACUAGACUCUACUAUAUAUGAUAUUAUCUAUAGAUUACAUAUACCUUUCCAAAAUAGCUUUGUCUGUAUCUCUUACCUAGCUUACAUUUCACAUGUAAGGGGUAAGAAUUGUAAAGAGACUUAGUUUCCUCAAGUAGGUAUGCCAACUGUCCCUUUGAAAAAAGAGUCCCUGAAUUAUAGUGGGAGACCCAGAAGGGAGAUAAGGAUUCUAAACGUAAUCAUUCGCAUUUAAAUUCUGCCAGGGAAUGGUCUUGCUUAAAUACAUAAUGAAAUGAGAUUUGUGUAGUGGUUUCUAAAUUCAGUUGUCAGAGAAAGAAGAUAAUCAGGUCAAGUUUCAGGUUGUGGCCCUCCCUUCUGUCAUCCUUACCAUCUGUGCCCAUUCUCUUUUCUCCUGCUUAGGUAGCUGUAGGCGAGCAGUGGGUCGAUUGCCUAUGGAGAUGUCUGUCCAGAACAGGACAUUAGUUCUCUUCUUGUAGGAUCCCCUAAGGAAGGAGGAGGAAAGAGCUGUAAAAUGCCUCUCCAGACUGACAACUGCUAACAGUGAUUAUCCCUAUCUCCCCACUGAAGCAGUGGCUCGUGGUGGUGGGGCUGAGUCUGCCUCCUUUUAGUAAGCCUGCAAAGGCAACGUCUGAUCGCAAUUAUGUCUUUGGAAUUUGAGGGACGUGAUGCCUCUUUAACCACAGCUGGGGGCCUAGUAAUCAAUUCUGGGACAACAAAAGAAGAUUCACCCAACAACUUCUGACAUCCUCAUGAAUACUAUAGUCCACAGAUUCAGACCUAUCAAAAUGGAAACCAGCCACUCAGUCCAGCACAGCAAGAUCUUUGGGAUACCAAAAAAGCAGUGGAUGGGUCUCCAGAAACUGACUUUGACAAGGGCUCCUGUAUUCAAAUAUGCUGGAAGCUCACCCACCCCUGAUUUGGCAUCGUUCACUCUGUAGGAAUUAGAAUCUUUUCGAUGUGGGAGAAGGAGAGGAAGAUAUGUGAUUGUCAGCAUUCCAGGUAAGAAACAUAUCCUCACUUUGUGUGAAAUGCAAGUCUUUGGUCCAUGCA